AACNCGUGGCGGCGUGCUUAACACAUGCAAGUCGAACGAGAACGGGAUAUAGCUUGCUAUAUUUGUCAGCUAAGUGGCGCACGGGUGAGUAAUGUAUAGGUAAUAUGCCUCUUACUAAGGGAUAACAAUUGGAAAACGAUUGCUAAUACCUUAUAUGCCUUUAAGACUAAAGUCUGCAAGGGAAAGAUUUAUUGGUAAGAGAUUAGCCUGUAUUGUAUCAGCUAGUUGGUGAGGUAAUGGCUCACCAAGGCUAUGACGCAUAACUGGUUUGAGAGGAUGAUCAGUCACACUGGAACUGAGACACGGUCCAGACUCCUACGGGAGGCAGCAGGUGGGGAAUAUUGCACAAUGGACGAAAGUCUGAUGCAGUAACGCCGCGUGGAGGAUGACACAUUUCGGUGCGUAAACUCCUUUUAUAUAGGAAGAUAAUGACGGUACUAUAUGAAUAAGCACCGGCUAACUCCGUG
rnacentral:rRNA from 1 species